UGUUCAAAUCCCUAUCUGUAAGUAUGCUAAUACCCAUACUUGCUUUAGCCACUAACACCACUAACAAGCUCGAAAUAUUGAAUAACAAUGAAACAAGGAGGAGUUCAACUUUGACCUGCACUUCCCAUGUGAGGCUUCCCGUACGAUCAACCUUUUCUGAGCUUUCCGUCUUUAUUCCAAUGCUUUUCUGCCGGUAUUCCACAAUGCCUUACUUUUUGUUUGUUAUAUAGCAGGGCCGAACGUCCCGGCACUCCCUCGGAGGUCUGAGAUUUCAGGACACUUUAAGCCCAACCCUGAUGCUGAACAUUCCCGAGCAGGAAAGAGGAAAUUACAGCAGGAAGGUCUCCUCCAGACCAUCUCAACCAACCAAAAGCAUCGUUUGUGGACCUCCACCAAUAAGCGGUUCCAGUGUCUCAACUAAUCACCAUCGCCCGUCUCAUCUAUAAACAUCACAGAUCAAACAGAAAUCACACGAGUGUGCUCCUUCCCUGUUACAUAAGAAACACCGUCACGCCUGGAUCUGUGGCUAUUACAGGAGAACAGCAGAACUGGAUGGUAAAAAAUGGGGAUUGUGAAUGAGAAAGCCUAGUUGGAGGUGGAGAGAGAGGAGAGGAGAGAGAAAGAGCCCUGCCGAUGGACUCGUGCCUGAUUGGUUCUGUUUUAUGACAUAAAAAGUUUGUCAGCAAAAUCCUGUAUCAUCGGAAGCCGGGGAUGAAAGGUUUCGUGAUCGCCAUGGCAACACGGCAGAUGUAAACAUCAGCACAGUUAGGUGGGCGUGCGUCUUUUGUUCCGUGUGUAUGGACAAAAAGUCACAACAAUACAAUCCUUACGAGAGGUCAUACGCACGCUUGUAUCUACAAAUUUGACAGACUGACACUGAA